UCCCUUAUUCCUGAUUUCCUCUUGGACCAUAUAUGUGAUAUAAAAUCUCUCUCACGUGCAAAUCGUGUGCACACACCAACGCACAAAAGUCCUAGCCUGCAUCACCUCCCUCUAGCAUUAUCUACCUAUGGCCAACAUCGUCUUCCUCCCGCGACCUCCUGAGGCCUCCCUUCAAUGGCGUCUCCCUCCCGUGGCCUCCCUCCAGCAUCACCUCCCUCCCGCGGCCUCCAAUGUCCACCCCGACCUCCCUCCCGCGACCUCUAGCGGCCCUCUCCCGUGACCUCCUUUCCGCGGCCUCUAGCGACCUCAGCGACCUUCCUCCCUAGCACUAUGUGGAAGAAAGCGAGGACUUUUUUUGCAUUUAGGUGAUCGUGAUUGAAAAAUUUCUCAUUUAUUAUUACAAUUUCGAUUCCCUUUUAGGAUUGAGAGGAGGACUAGCGCUGAAGGAGCCCUGAGUUGAUCAAAGCAUCAGCGACCAGCUCGCUCUCAAGAAAGCUGAAGAAGCUGCUUCAAGAAGUACCAAGCGGCAAAAUGGCCAAGGCAAAUGGAUUAGGGAGUAGCGGAAACCCUGCCAAAAGAGUCGACAGAGGAGGAAUUUUUGGCCGACAGAGGAGGAAUUCUGCUUGUCUCUGUGCAAUGGACUCAUACUGUGCAACGUCCUCAACCUAGUAAAUCCAAGCACUAUGCCGAAGGUUUUCCUCUACCUUUGUCUUUAUCAAACUCGCUACGAGGAUGUAGUUGAAUACAAUGAUAUUCUGAAUAAUGGGAAUAAUAAUCAUGUAACUAUGUAGUUGAGUGAUGAAAUAUAUUUAUUGAAUAGGAAAUUUAGAGUUGCUAUCA